rnacentral:rRNA from 1 species
CCUACGGGAGGCAGCAGUAGGGAAUCUUCCACAAUGGGCGAAAGCCUGAUGGAGCAACGCCGCGUGGGUGAAGAAGGUCUUCGGAUCGUAAAACCCUGUUGUUAGAGAAGAAAGUGCGUGAGAGUAACUGUUCACGUUUCGACGGUAUCUAACCAGAACGCCACGGCUAACUACGUGCCAGCAGCCGCGGUAAUACGUAGGUGGCAAGCGUUAUCCGGAUUGAUUGGGCGUAAAGGGAACGCAGGCGGUCUGUUAAGUCUGAUGUGAAAGCCUUCGGCUUAACCGGAAUAGUGCAUUGGAAACUGGGAGACUUGAGUGCAGAAGAGGAGAGUGGAACUCCAUGUGUAGCGGUGAAAUGCGUAGAUAUAUGGAAGAACACCAGUGGCGAAAGCGGCUCUCUGGUCUGUAACUGACGCUGAGGCUCGAAAGCGUGGGUAGCAAACAGGAUUAGAUACCCCAGUAGUC